GUCCCCCUAGAUAGCUCAGUUGGUUAGAGCAUGGUGUUGACAAUGCCAAAGUUGCAGGUUCGAUCACAGUACGAGACA